rnacentral:rRNA from 1 species
UACGAAGGGGGCUAGCGUUGCUCGGAAUCACUGGGCGUAAAGGGCGCGUAGGCGGCCGAUCAAGUCAGGGGUGAAACGCCUGUGGCUCAACCACAGGAAUUUGACCUUUGGAUACUGUUCGGCUCGAGAACCGGAAGAGGUAGUGGAACUGCGAGUGUAGAGGUGAAAUUCGUAGAUAUUCGCAAGAACACCAGUGGCGAAGGCGGCUUACUGGUCCGGUUCUGACGCUGAGGCGGCGAAAGCGUGGGGAGCAAACAGG